AUCCUACGGGAGGCAGCAGUGGGGAAUAUUGCACAAUGGGCGCAAGCCUGAUGCAGCCAUGCCGCGUGUAUGAAGAAGGCCUUCGGGUUGUAAAGUACUUUCAGCAGUGAGGAAGGCGGGUGUGUUAAUAGCACAUUCGUUUGACGUUAGCUGCAGAAGAAGCACCGGCUAACUCCGUGCCAGCAGCCGCGGUAAUACGGAGGGUGCGAGCGUUAAUCGGAAUUACUGGGCGUAAAGCGCAUGCAGGUGGUUUGUUAAGUCAGAUGUGAAAGCCCGGGGCUCAACCUCGGAAUUGCAUUUGAAACUGGCAGACUAGAGUACUGUAGAGGGGGUAGAAUUUCAGGUGUAGCGGUGAAAUGCGUAGAGAUCUGAAGGAAUACCGGUGGCGAAGGCGGCCCCCUGGACAGAUACUGACACUCAGAUGCGAAAGCGUGGGGAGCAAACAGGAUUAGAUACCCUGGUAG
rnacentral:rRNA from 1 species